GCCCAGUGAUGAGACCAAGGCGAAUACGAGCUUACUGAAUGAGAGUUGGGUUCUUCUUUGCCUUGACUGGCAGGUAAUCUUGGCAGUGCAGAGGAGCAUUCCUGCUCUGCUGUAAGGGCCUGCCUACAGUGAUGUGGCUCAACCCAAAUUAUUCCUUCACAGUCACAGCGGAAUAUUUGCUGGGCUGAAGCUGACAGUGUGUGUGUGUGGCUGGCAAGAAGUUCACCCAGCUCUCUUUGCUGUUCAGUUAGCAAUGAGUUGCUUCUUUGGUAAUCUGAGGGCA